rnacentral:rRNA from 1 species
UACCAGCACCCCGAGUGGUCGGGACGAUUAUUGGGCCUAAAGCAUCCGUAGCCGGUCCUACAAGUCUUCCGUUAAAUCCACCUGCUUAACAGAUGGGCUGCGGAAGAUACUAUAGGGCUAGGAGGCGGGAGAGGCAAGCGGUACUCAGUGGGUAGGGGUAAAAUCCUCUGAUCCACUUAAGACCACCAGUGGCGAAGGCGGCUUGCCAGAACGCGCUCGACGGUGAGGGAUGAAAGCUGGGGGAGCAAACCGG